rnacentral:rRNA from 1 species
GUGUCAGCAGCCGCGGUAAUACGGGGGGUGCAAGCGUUGUUCGGAAUUAUUGGGCGUAAAGAGCGUGUAGGCGGCUUGACAAGUCAGAUGUGAAAUCCCUGGGCUUAACCUAGGAAGUGCAUUUGAAACUGUCAGGCUUGAGUAAGGGAGAGGAAAGUGGAAUUCCUGGUGUAGAGGUGAAAUUCGUAGAUAUCAGGAGGAACACCGGUGGCGAAGGCGACUUUCUGGCCCUAUACUGACGCUGAGACGCGAAAGCGUGGGUAGCAAACAGGAUUAGAUACCCCUGUAGUCC